GCAACAGCAACAACAGACCGCCGCUUUGGUCAGACAACUCCAACAGCAGCUGUCAACUUGAGGUAAAAAAAAUGACGUGAUUCCGAGUUCAGACUUCCCACUUCCAAGUUAAGUCGAUCGCAAUAAUAAAUGUAAUAAUGUUGAUAAUGUUGGGUUAUAAUUUCCACCGAACUCCAUCGAGCCAUCGGUUUAGCCAAUCGUAGCACAGGAGGCGGGGUUUGUCAGAAAAUGAGAGGUGGGGGAGGGAGUAUUUCUAUAGAUUUCUAUGAGGAAAUAUGUUUGUUGUUCAUCGUUGGUGCUUCUGCACUGCCUUUGUUUCUAAUUCAUACAUAAAAUGCAUUCGGUCAUGUUUUAAUCAAAUACGUUUCCCCACACAGGCACACAGCCAGGACAGAACACCAACUCGUAUUACCCCAAGUACGAGUGAGUCCUGCGUGGCCCUCCUGACACGGACCGGACGAUUCCGGAGUCGUCUUGAGCCGGGAGGCCCUCGGACACGAGAGACUGAUCCCCAGCCGAUCCGAUAUCUGACCACAGUGCUGUUUCUAGGAAUAAAACCUCUUUCAGAUUUUGUGUAAUUCCACGACGGUCCGAGGUAUGAGGCUGUGAACUGGUGAUCAUGAAGCGCAAGGAAGGACUUUAUGUAAAAAAAAAAAAAAAACACACACACACAACACAAAAAAAAAAAAAAAACACGAAAUGAUGAGAGUAAUGCAGUGUUUUUUAUUUUAUUUUACUUUGUACAAUUUUUCAGUUUCGUGUAUUCUCAUUAAAAAAAAAAACAAGUCGUGUCAAUUUUUAGAUCUUGUCCCAGACUCUGAAAAGUGGAUUUAUCACAAACUAAUAUAAAUAAUAAUAAUAAUAAUAAUAAUAAGGCAUCAUGACUGAACUCGCACACACCUCUCCACCAACACACUGUAGUACAACAAUCACUAUAAUACACGUUUAUCCAGAAAACUAAAAUAUUCCCAGGUAUUAAGUCUCAGUGGAGCAGACGAGACAUAGACUACGUUUACACGGACAGCAGUAAUCUAAUUAUUGACCUUAAUCCGAGUAAGAUAAUAAUGUGAUUAAGGUGUUUACGAGUCGCUUUUAGAAUACUCCUUUCAUGUGCCCGUUUUACAUGUUUUAUACCAUAAUUAGAUUAACAGCCCGCGUCAUUACGUCCCC
ensembl:lncRNA